rnacentral:rRNA from 1 species
GACGAACGCUGGCGGCGUGCCUAAUACAUGCAAGUAGAACGCUGAAGGAGGAGCUUGCUCUUCUGGAUGAGUUGCGAACGGGUGAGUAACGCGUAGGUAACCUGCCUGGUAGCGGGGGAUAACUAUUGGAAACGAUAGCUAAUACCGCAUAACAGUAGAUGUUGCAUGACAUUUACUUAAAAGGUGCAAUUGCAUCACUACCAGAUGGACCUGCGUUGUAUCAGCUAGUUGGUGGGGUAACGGCUCACCAAGGCGACGAUACAUAGCCGACCUGAGAGGGUGAUCGGCCACACUGGGACUGAGACACGGCCCAGACUCCUACGGGAGGCAGCAGUAGGGAAUCUUCGGCAAUGGACGGAAGUCUGACCGAGCAACGCCGCGUGAGUGAAGAAGGUUUUCGGAUCGUAAAGCUCUGUUGUAAGAGAAGAACGAGUGUGAGAGUGGAAAGUUCACACUGUGACGGUAUCUUACCAGAAAGGGACGGCUAACUACGUG